rnacentral:rRNA from 1 species
CUUUCAACAACGGAUCUCUUGGCUCCGGCAUCGAUGAAGAACGCAGCGAAAUGCGAUAAGUAAUGUGAA